rnacentral:lncRNA from 1 species
AUGCCCCUGGGCUGCAGUUCCGUCUCUUGGCUGCAGGACAGGUGUGGCAUCACCCUCCAGUCCUCCUGGCCGAAUGAGAGGAAUGAGGGUGUGAGCCGGUGCUGGCCAGUGGGAAAGGAAGAGACUGUUUGCUGGGAAACUCCCUUGUUCAUACAAAAGAUACAGGACCGGAAAGUCUCUUUUUGGCACUGGACCUUGUUGUAUCUGGAUGUUGGUCUUGGAACAUCUGUUCCAGAAACGGCCACAUCAGAGCUGGAAAGAACCUACGUCCUUGAUGGCAUCACUGGACCCCGGGGUGUGCCCACCCGCACCCACCCUUCCUUCUGAUUUCGUUAGUGUGACUGUGACUUGCCUUUGUGCUCAGGCCUGUUUGCAGAGGGGUCUCCUCCUUACUCACAGCACGAAGCUGACUUCCUGAUAUGGUGAGCAUCAUGGGGUCUGGUGCUCUGUUGUUUUGUGGAACCCACACCAUAUAAUGGGUAAGGACACAAGCUCUGACCCUAGACACCCUUCCUUCCAACCCAGUUCUGCCACUUGCAGUCACGUCCUCUGGAGAAAUUUACUUGGCCCUCUGUGCCUUACUCUCCUCACCUGUGAAAUGGGUUUGUUAUUCUUUGUAAUAACAACACCAGACAGAGAAGGGUGCAUUUCUGAGUACGUAAUGCGGUCAUGCAGAGGUGGUUCACAGAAUUGGGCCUGGCACGUUCCCUGUCAUCACAACCUCUGAGGCUGCCACGGGAUAGGUUGCAGGUCACGCUUCACACUGAAUGAGCCACGGCCAAGAACAUGGAGACGGCAUCAGACGUGUCUCUUCAGCCCCAGAGACUCUCUUUCUGUGCCACUGUCUUGUCACGCACAGAUGACCCCUCACCAGAAAGCUGGCUUUCCCACUGUGGGUCUCCCAUUUGGGGGAACACAAAUAUACAUCGUGUUCCAUUGUGCACAUGAAUUCAGGUCACUCCCGUCCGGUCCUCAGAUAGCUAGGGGCUGCUUCUGGUGCCGUGGGGGGUGGGUAAGGGGCAGGGGAGGGCAGG